rnacentral:rRNA from 1 species
GUUUUGAUUAUGAGCUCGAAUUGAACGCUGGCGGGGAUGGCGCACAUACAGUCUGACAUGCUGAAGCCGGUCUGAUUUAUGGCGAAUUCUUGAACGGGUAGUAAUAAUAUCAGAGCAGUGCCUAGUAGCGGGGAUAACUUACGCGAAAGCGUGGCUAAUGCCGCAUACGCCCGGCUGAAAGCGGGGAGACCUUGAACUCCUUUCUGCGGCUGCUCGAUAUCGGAUUGGCUGGUUAGCGGGAGUAACAACUCACCAAGGCGACGAUCCGUAGCUGGUUGAAGAGACGACCAUUACUGGGACUGAGACGACCCAGACUCCUGCAGGAGGCAGCAGUGGAGAAUUUUGGACAAUGGGAAACCCUGAUCAACCAUCCCGCGUGUGCGUGAAGGCCCUUCCGGGUUGUAAAGCACUUUUGGCAGGAAAACAGCACCGGGAUAUUGUGCAACUGACAACACCUGCAGAUAAGCGCCGGCUAACUGCGUUAUGGCAGUGGCGUUGUCGUAAGUGCAAGCGUUAAUCGGAAUUGCUGGGCGUAAGCGUACACUUGAGCAAUUCCGGGAAAAGAAAGAUGUGAAAUCGAAACUUAACCUGGGAACACCAUUUUUAACUACCGAGCUAGAGUGUGUCAGAGGUGGAAUUCCAGCGAUAGCAGCGUGAUGAAAUGCGUAGAUAUGCGGAGAAAGGAACUUACCGAUAGCGAAGGCAGCCUCCGCCCAGGAUAACACUGACGCUCAUGCACAGCGUGGGAGCAAACAAGUUAGAUACCUGGUAGUCCACGCGCAAACGUGUCAACUGGCUGUUACGGGGCAGCUGGAACUGGUAGCGCAGCUAACGCGUGAAGAUUAGCCGCCGCAGAAUACGGUCGCAAAAUUAAAACUCAAAAGGAAUUGACAGAGACCCGCACUGGCGGUGGAUGAUGUGGAUUAUUCGAUGCAACGCGAAAAACACUGCCCUUGACAUGUCUGGAAUCCCGAAAGAGAUUUGGGAGUAUCGCAAAGAACCGGAACACGGGUGCAUGGCUGUCAUCGGCUCGUGUCGUGAGGAUGUUGGGUUAAGUCCCGCAACGAGCACAACCCUUGUCGUGGUGCCUACGAAGAGCGCUCUAUUAAGGACUGCCGGUGACAAACCGGGAGGAAGGUGAGAUGACGUCAAGUCACCUCCUGCUUCGCCUUAGGUAGGGCUUCACGUCAUACAAUGGUCGGGACGGAGGGUCGCCAACCCGCGAGGAAUAAUCAAGCGAUCGUAUCCAGAUCUGAUCUGCAACUCGACUGCGUGAAGUCGGAAUCGCUAGUAAUCGCGGAUCCAGCAUGUCGCCACGGUGAAUACGUUCCGGGUCUUAUACCCACCGCCCGUCACGCAAAGCAGGGUGGGUUUUACCGAAGUGGUUAGCUUCAGCGUGGGGGCGAUUACCACAGUAGGAUUCAUGACUGGGGUGAAGUCAUGCUGGUAA